ensembl:lncRNA
GUUUUCGUAGGCUUUACAGGUUUUGUUUUCAUCUGAACAUGAAAGACUGCAGCUUUCCCAGAGACUUGUCUGCUCAGUUUUUAUACCUCCUGCUUGUGACAUAUUUCUGGCAUCAGAUGAGUGAGGAAUGAGCCUAAGGGUAUUUUUGGUUGCAAGACAAAAGACUGGGUGAAUACAAAAAGAAGAAAAAAAAAAGAAACAGAAACUCGGGGAAAGGUCAAGGAUGAAGCCCAAGGCACUCAUGGUCUCCAUUAUGGUUUCUCUUACAGUCUUGGACUGUCGUGGAAUUCCUGUUUCUGCACUCCUUUUGCUUUAAGUAGAAGCAAGAGCUGGCAAGAAACAACCUUCAAUGUCUAUCUGUCUUACUAGCUUUCCUUGAACUCCAGGGCAGAGAACAUUGAGAAGCACCUUCCCACAGCCUGAGUUUCUUGUUGUCUGCCUUGAACCUGUGUAAGCUAGCUUAACUGAUUUUACCAGAAGUGAAUUUAGAAAUACUCCCAGGGAGUACUUCGCCAAUAAAUCCAAGGACAAAAGAACUUCACAUAUGCACAUGGCCAGAGGAAGGCAAGCAGCUAAGGAAAAUGUCUGCUUCCACUUCAAAGAGAAGGAUGCUAGCUGAAGUCUCUUAGCCUUCAUUUAAAACAAACAAACAGGAAAAAAAGAAAAAGAAAAAAAAGGCACCAACAAGCAAACAAAAACGUUCUAAAAACAAUUUGUAAAAUCAUCAAAGGUGUGGGAUUCACACAAACCAACCAGUUAAGAACAGGGUUUUUCAGUCUCUCAGUGCUGAAAAUCUAAAAACCUUUUCAUCAUUAUGAUUCAUUUUGAUUUAGUUAGUCCGUGUGAAGAAUGUUUUAUUGCUCAGAUUAAGAAAACUUUCCCUGCUACUAUGAAAAAGACAAAGCUACAAGAGUGCUAGAUUAGAUACAGAUGCCUCUUAAAUUAACAGGAGCUUUCCCAUUUAUUUCAGUAGACAUUGGUGCAACUCCUAAGCAAGGAGUUAUCCAGCUGUUUGCUGCUGAUGAAAUAAGGUCCCUUGUGCACUGUUAAGAAACAAAAAGUGCAAAGACGGAAAUCACUAAAAGGAGUCCUUUACGGAGGAGUCAGCAUAGAUCUAAUGUCCAGAAAAACAACAUUUCAGAGCAGCACUUGCACACUCAAGACUGCUAGAGGGAUAUCCAUGAUGUCUUUGUACAUGGAAGCUUGUAGAAUGAACAAGACAACGUGAUCCAUGUGACUUCUGUGGUAGUUAAAAGUGGAUGUGUACACUGUUGAAGUCCAGAGAUAAAACACCUGCUCCAAAGCAUCUUGUCUGCAACUCUCUGGCCCAUUUAAACCACAGAAGAGCACAGCACAGAUGUUUGGAUUGUAUUCUCUAAUGAAGACUUCAGUCAGAGAAACGUAGGACCUGGGGACUAUUCAAAACUAGAUUAAAAUAUUGAAGAGGAAUUUAAGACCAUUGCCAAAACAUCUGUUAUUUACUGUCCUUUAAUAAAUCAGAUUUCUUGUGAAAAACAUUCUUUCUCAACAACCAGAUUACAGGAAGUGCAGUAUUCCUCUGACGGAUACUUCAGGCAGUCCUGAGCUUGUGUUCCAGCUGCACUGUUAUUAUCUCCUGGCAGCCUGCAUGCUCUGUUCUUUAAUAAAAUCUGUUGCCC